rnacentral:rRNA from 1 species
AGUACCGUGAGGGAAAGGUGAAAAGAACCCCGGGAGGGGAGUGAAAUAGAACCUGAAACCAUGUGCCUACAACCGAUCAAAGCACCUUAUGUGUGUGAUGAUGUGCUUUUUGUAGAACGAGCCAACGAGUUACGGUAUGUAGCGAGGUUAAGUACUUAAGGUACGGAGCCGAAGGGAAACCGAGUCUUAAUAGGGCGACUAGUUGCAUGCUGUAGACCCGAAACCGGGUGACCUAUCCAUGGCCAGGUUGAAGCGAGGGUAAAACCUCGUGGAGGACCGAACCACGUUGCUGUUGAAAAAGCAUGGGAUGAGCUGUGGAUAGCGGAGAAAUUCCAAUCGAACUCGGAUAUAGCUGGUUCUCCUCGAAAUAGCUUUAGGGCUAGCGUCGUGAAAUGUGAGUACUGGAGGUAGAGCACUGAAUAGGCUAGGGGGCAUAGCGCUUACCGAACCUUAUCAAACUCCGAAUGCCAGAUACUAUCAGCACGGCAGUCAGACUAUGAAAGAUAAGUUCCAUGGUCAAAAGGGAAACAGCCCAGAUCGUCAGCUAAGGUCCCAAAGUGUAAGUUAAGUGGAAAAGGAUGUGGGAUUUCUAAGACAACUAGGAUGUUGGCUUAGAAGCAGCCACUCAUUAAAAGAGUGCGUAAUAGCUCACUAGUCAAGAGAUCCUGCGCCGAAAAUGUCCGGGGCUCAAACUUACCACCGAAGCUACGGGUUCAUACUUUGUAUGAGCGGUAGAGGAGCGUCGUAAUCGGGCUGAAGUCGUACCGUAAGGAGCGGUGGACUGAUUACGAGUGAGAAUGUUGGCAUUAGUAGCGAGAUGUAGGUGAGAAUCCUACAGGCCGAAUAUCUAAGGUUUCCUGAGUAAAGUUUGUCUUCUCAGGGUUAGUCGGGACCUAAGGCGAGGCCGAGAGGCGUAGUCGAUGGACAAUUGGUUGAUAUUCCAAUACCACUAUAAUCGUUAUUAUCGAUGGUGUGACGGAGAAGGAUAGGAUGUGCCAGCUAUUGGAUGCUGGUCUAAGCGUUGAGGGAGUUAGAACAGGCAAAUCCGUUCUAACAAUCCUAGGGCGUGAUGGGGAAGGUUCUACGGAACCGAAGUAUCUGAUUUCAUGCUUCCAAGAAAAGCAUCUAGAAAGAGAAGUAGUGCCCGUACCGCAAACCGACACAGGUAGAUGAGGAGAGAAUCCUAAGGCCGACGGAAGAAUCACAGUUAAGGAACUAGGCAAAUUGACCCCGUAACUUCGGGAGAAGGGGUGCCUACCAUUUGGUAGGCCGCAGAGAAUAGGCACAAGCAACUGUUUAACAAAAACACAGGUCUCUGCUAAAGCGUAAGCUGAUGUAUAGGGGCUGACGCCUGCCCGGUGCUGGAAGGUUAAGGGGAACACUUAGCGCAAGCGAAGGUGUGAACUUAAGCCCCAGUAAACGGCGGCCGUAACUAUAACGGUCCUAAGGUAGCGAAAUUCCUUGUCGGGUAAGUUCCGACCCGCACGAAAGGUGUAACGAUUUGGGCACUGUCUCAACAAUGGAUCCGGUGAAAUUGUAGUACUCGUGAAGAUGCGAGUUACCCGCGACAGGACGGAAAGACCCCGUGGAGCUUUACUGCAGGCUGACAUUGGAUUUUGGCAUUGCAUGUACAGGAUAGGUGGGAGACUGAGAAGCCAGGGCGCCAGUUUUGGUGGAGUCACCCUUGGGAUACCACUCUUGUAAUGCUGAAAUUCUAACCUGGUACCAUGAAACUGGUAUAGGGACACUGUCAGUUGGGCAGUUUGACUGGGGCGGUCGCCUCCUAAAAAGUAACGGAGGCGCUCAAAGGUUCCCUCAGCACGGUCGGAAAUCGUGCGAAGAGUGUAAAGGCAAAAGGGAGCUUAACUGCGACACCAACAAGUGGAGCAGAAACGAAAGUUGGACUUAGUGAUCCGGUGGUUCCGAGUGGAAGGGCCAUCGCUCAACGGAUAAAAGCUACCCCGGGGAUAACAGGCUUAUCUCCCCCAAGAGUCCACAUCGACGGGGAGGUUUGGCACCUCGAUGUCGGCUCGUCUCAUCCUGGGGCUGGAGUAGGUCCCAAGGGUUGGGCUGUUCGCCCAUUAAAGAGGCACGCGAGCUGGGUUCAGAACGUCGUGAGACAGUUCGGUCCCUAUCCGUCGUGGGCGUAGGAAAUUUGAGAGGAGCUGUCCUUAGUACGAGAGGACCGGGAUGGACAGACCGCUGGUGUAUCAGUUGUCAUGCCAAUGGCACGGCUGAGUAGCUAUGUCUGGAAGGGAUAAGUGCUGAAGGCAUCUAAGCACGAAGCCCCCCUCAAGAUGAGAUUUCCCACUUUUU